rnacentral:rRNA from 1 species
UACGUAGGUGGCAAGCGUUGUCCGGAUUUACUGGGCGUAAAGGGCGUGCAGGCGGUUUGGUUAGUCUAGGGUGAAAGCUCCCGGCUUAACUGGGAGAGGUCCUUGGAUACUGGCAAACUUGAGGGAGGCAGAGGAAAGUGGAAUUCCCGGUGUAGUGGUGAUAUGCGUAGAUAUCGGGAGGAACACCAGUGGCGAAGGCGGCUUUCUGGGCCUUACCUGACGCUGAGACGCGAAAGCGUGGGGAGCGAACCGG